UACGUAGGGUGCAAGCGUUUAAUCGGAAUUGCUGGGCGUAAAGCGUGCGCAGGCGGCUUUGCAAGACAGAUGUGAAAUCCCCGGGCUUAACCUGGGAACUGCAUUUGUGACUGCAUGGCUAGAGUUUGGCAGAGGGGGGUAGAAUUCCACGUGUAGCAGUGAAAUGCGUAGAUAUGUGGAGGAACACCGAUGGCGAAGGCAGCCCCCUGGGUCAAGACUGACGCUCAUGCACGAAAGCGUGGGGAGCAAACAGG
rnacentral:rRNA from 1 species